UUUGGUGGCGAUGCGUUUUUGGAAAACACCCGUUCUCAUCCCGAACACGAUGGUUAAGACUUAAACGGCCGAUGAUACUAUACUGGUAACGGUAUGGGAAAGUAGGUGGCUGCCAAAU
rnacentral:rRNA from 1 species